rnacentral:rRNA from 1 species
GAUGAACGCUGGCGGCGUGCCUAAUACAUGCAAGUCGAGCGAACAGACGAGGCGCUUGCUCCUCUGACGUUAGCGGCGGACGGGUGAGUAACACGUGGAUAACCUACCUAUAAGACUGGGAUAACUUCGGGAAACCGGAGCUAAUACCGGAUAAUAUAUUGAACCGCAUGGUUCAAUAGUGAAAGACGGUUUUGCUGUCACUUAUAGAUGGAUCCCCGCCGCAUUAGCUAGUUGGUAAGGUAACGGCUUAGCAAGGCAACGAGGCGUAGCCGACCUGAGAGGGUGAUCGCCCACACUGGAGCUGAACCACGGUCCAGAGGCCUGCGGGAGGCAGCAGUAGGGAAUCUGACGCAAUGGGCGAAAGCCUGACGGAGCAGCGCCGCGUGAGAGAUGAAGGUCUUCGGAUCGUAAAACUCGGUUAUGAGUGAAGAACAAAUGUGUAAGUAACUAUGCACGUCUUGACGGUACCUAAUCAGAAAGCAACGGCUAACUACGUG